UACAGAGGGGGCAAGCGUUGCUCGGAAUUACUGGGCGUAAAGGGCGCGUAGGCGGCCUUCUAAGUCGAACGUGAAAUCCCCGGGCUCAACCCGGGAACUGCGUCCGAUACUGGAAGGCUUGAAUCCGGGAGAGGGAUGCGGAAUUCCAGGUGUAGCGGUGAAAUGCGUAGAUAUCUGGAGGAACACCGGUGGCGAAGGCGGCAUCCUGGACCGGCAUUGACGCUGAGGCGCGAAAGCUAGGGGAGCAAACGGG
rnacentral:rRNA from 1 species